GGGUUGUGAGGUUAAGCGACUAAGCGUACACGGUGGAUGCCCUGGCAGUCAGAGGCGAUGAAGGACGUGCUAAUCUGCGAUAAGCGUCGGUAAGGUGAUAUGAACCGUUAUAACCGGCGAUUUCCGAAUGGGGAAACCCAGUGUGUUUCGACACACUAUCAUUAACUGAAUCCAUAGGUUAAUGAGGCGAACCGGGGGAACUGAAACAUCUAAGUACCCCGAGGAAAAGAAAUCAACCGAGAUUCCCCCAGUAGCGGCGAGCGAACGGGGAGCAGCCCAGAGCCUGAAUCAGUGUGUGUGUUAGUGGAAGCGUCUGGAAAGGCGCGCGAUACAGGGUGACAGCCCCGUACACAAAAAUGCACAUGCUGUGAGCUCGAUGAGUAGGGCGGGACACGUGGUAUCCUGUCUGAAUAUGGGGGGACCAUCCUCCAAGGCUAAAUACUCCUGACUGACCGAUAGUGAACCAGUACCGUGAGGGAAAGGCGAAAAGAACCCCGGCGAGGGGAGUGAAAAAGAACCUGAAACCGUGUACGUACAAGCAGUGGGAGCACGCUUAGGCGUGUGACUGCGUACCUUUUGUAUAAUGGGUCAGCGACUUAUAUUCUGUAGCAAGGUUAACCGAAUAGGGGAGCCGAAGGGAAACCGAGUCUUAACUGGGCGUUAAGUUGCAGGGUAUAGACCCGAAACCCGGUGAUCUAGCCAUGGGCAGGUUGAAGGUUGGGUAACACUAACUGGAGGACCGAACCGACUAAUGUUGAAAAAUUAGCGGAUGACUUGUGGCUGGGGGUGAAAGGCCAAUCAAACCGGGAGAUAGCUGGUUCUCCCCGAAAGCUAUUUAGGUAGCGCCUCGUGAAUUCAUCUCCGGGGGUAGAGCACUGUUUCGGCAAGGGGGUCAUCCCGACUUACCAACCCGAUGCAAACUGCGAAUACCGGAGAAUGUUAUCACGGGAGACACACGGCGGGUGCUAACGUCCGUCGUGAAGAGGGAAACAACCCAGACCGCCAGCUAAGGUCCCAAAGUCAUGGUUAAGUGGGAAACGAUGUGGGAAGGCCCAGACAGCCAGGAUGUUGGCUUAGAAGCAGCCAUCAUUUAAAGAAAGCGUAAUAGCUCACUGGUCGAGUCGGCCUGCGCGGAAGAUGUAACGGGGCUAAACCAUGCACCGAAGCUGCGGCAGCGACGCUUAUGCGUUGUUGGGUAGGGGAGCGUUCUGUAAGCCUGCGAAGGUGUGCUGUGAGGCAUGCUGGAGGUAUCAGAAGUGCGAAUGCUGACAUAAGUAACGAUAAAGCGGGUGAAAAGCCCGCUCGCCGGAAGACCAAGGGUUCCUGUCCAACGUUAAUCGGGGCAGGGUGAGUCGACCCCUAAGGCGAGGCCGAAAGGCGUAGUCGAUGGGAAACAGGUUAAUAUUCCUGUACUUGGUGUUACUGCGAAGGGGGGACGGAGAAGGCUAUGUUGGCCGGGCGACGGUUGUCCCGGUUUAAGCGUGUAGGCUGGUUUUCCAGGCAAAUCCGGAAAAUCAAGGCUGAGGCGUGAUGACGAGGCACUACGGUGCUGAAGCAACAAAUGCCCUGCUUCCAGGAAAAGCCUCUAAGCAUCAGGUAACAUCAAAUCGUACCCCAAACCGACACAGGUGGUCAGGUAGAGAAUACCAAGGCGCUUGAGAGAACUCGGGUGAAGGAACUAGGCAAAAUGGUGCCGUAACUUCGGGAGAAGGCACGCUGAUAUGUAGGUGAAGUCCCUCGCGGAUGGAGCUGAAAUCAGUCGAAGAUACCAGCUGGCUGCAACUGUUUAUUAAAAACACAGCACUGUGCAAACACGAAAGUGGACGUAUACGGUGUGACGCCUGCCCGGUGCCGGAAGGUUAAUUGAUGGGGUUAGCGCAAGCGAAGCUCUUGAUCGAAGCCCCGGUAAACGGCGGCCGUAACUAUAACGGUCCUAAGGUAGCGAAAUUCCUUGUCGGGUAAGUUCCGACCUGCACGAAUGGCGUAAUGAUGGCCAGGCUGUCUCCACCCGAGACUCAGUGAAAUUGAACUCGCUGUGAAGAUGCAGUGUACCCGCGGCAAGACGGAAAGACCCCGUGAACCUUUACUAUAGCUUGACACUGAACAUUGAGCCUUGAUGUGUAGGAUAGGUGGGAGGCUUUGAAGUGUGGACGCCAGUCUGCAUGGAGCCGACCUUGAAAUACCACCCUUUAAUGUUUGAUGUUCUAACGUGGACCCGUGAUCCGGGUUGCGGACAGUGUCUGGUGGGUAGUUUGACUGGGGCGGUCUCCUCCUAAAGAGUAACGGAGGAGCACGAAGGUUGGCUAAUCCUGGUCGGACAUCAGGAGGUUAGUGCAAUGGCAUAAGCCAGCUUGACUGCGAGCGUGACGGCGCGAGCAGGUGCGAAAGCAGGUCAUAGUGAUCCGGUGGUUCUGAAUGGAAGGGCCAUCGCUCAACGGAUAAAAGGUACUCCGGGGAUAACAGGCUGAUACCGCCCAAGAGUUCAUAUCGACGGCGGUGUUUGGCACCUCGAUGUCGGCUCAUCACAUCCUGGGGCUGAAGUAGGUCCCAAGGGUAUGGCUGUUCGCCAUUUAAAGUGGUACGCGAGCUGGGUUUAGAACGUCGUGAGACAGUUCGGUCCCUAUCUGCCGUGGGCGCUGGAGAACUGAGGGGGGCUGCUCCUAGUACGAGAGGACCGGAGUGGACGCAUCACUGGUGUUCGGGUUGUCAUGCCAAUGGCACUGCCCGGUAGCUAAAUGCGGAAGAGAUAAGUGCUGAAAGCAUCUAAGCACGAAACUUGCCCCGAGAUGAGUUCUCCCUGACUCCUUGAGAGUCCUGAAGGAACGUUGAAGACGACGACGUUGAUAGGCCGGGUGUGUAAGCGCAGCGAUGCGUUGAGCUAACCGGUACUAAUGAACCGUGAGGCUUAACCUUACAACGCCGAAG
rnacentral:rRNA from 1 species